rnacentral:rRNA from 1 species
UACGUAGGUGGCAAGCGUUAUCCGGAAUUAUUGGGCGUAAAGAGCGCGCAGGUGGUUGAUUAAGUCUGAUGUGAAAGCCCACGGCUUAACCGUGGAGGGUCAUUGGAAACUGGUCGACUUGAGUGCAGAAGAGGGAAGUGGAAUUCCAUGUGUAGCGGUGAAAUGCGUAGAGAUAUGGAGGAACACCAGUUGCGAAGGCGAUUCUCUGGACUGUAACUGACGCUGAGGCUCGAAAGCGUGGGGAGCAAACAGGAUUAGAUA